rnacentral:rRNA from 1 species
AUGCUGGCUUGCUGCUGCUUUGUUGUGUCCCAGCUGCUCAUCAUAAUAACACUCAUAUACCUUGUCAUUACCAAGAGCAAGGUGCGCUGUAGCACGUGCUCAUCGGCGACGGUGCCGCUUCCACUUCCGCCGGGGCCAUGGCCGUGGCCAGUGGUGGGUAGCCUGCCCGAGAUGGUGGUCAACAAGCCAGCGUUCCGUUGGAUCCAUCGCGUGAUGAAGGAUAUGGGCACCGACAUCGCCUGCUUCCGCCUCGGCGGCGUCCACGUCGUCUCGAUCACAUGUCCCAAGAUCGCAAGGGAGGUGCUCAAGAAGCAGGACAAAAACUUCUCGUCCCGCCCACUCACCUUCGCCUCCGGCGCCAUCAGCAGCGGGUACAAGGACGCCGUGCUCUCACCGUUCGGUGACCAGUGGAUGAAGAUGCGCAAGGUGCUCACCUCUGAGAUCAUCUGCCCCUCCCGUCACAAGUGGCUCCACGACAAGCGUGCCGACGAAGCUGACAACUUGACGCGCUACAUCUACAACCUCACCGCCCGGGGGUUGUCAUCUUCAACGUCGAGACUAGCCAAUGUCAACGUCAGGCACGUCGCGCGGCAUUACUGCGGCAACGUCAUCCGCCGGCUUGUCUUCGGCCAACGGUACUUCGGGGAGCCUCAGCCGGACGGCGGGCCGGGGCCGAUGGAGGUGGAGCACAUGGACGCUUCCUUCGCCCUCCUAGGGUUCACCUUCGCGUUCUGCGUCAGCGACUACCUCCCGUGUCUACUUGGCCUAGAUCUCGACGGCCACGAGAAAAUUAUUAAGGAGGCCAACACAAAAGUGGAUAGACUGCACGACGUGGUCAUCGAAGACCGUUGGAGGCAGUGGAACAACAGCGAGAGGCAGGACGGGGUCCAGGACUUCCUUGACGUUCUCAUCACGCUCGCCGACGGUGAUGGCAAGCCGUUGCUCAGCAUCGAUGAGGUCAAAGCACAGUCCAAGGGCAUAAUAUUAGCGGCCAUAGAUAACCCGUCAAACGCAGUGGAGUGGGCGCUGGCGGAGAUGGUGAACAACCCAGAAUUGCUGGCCAGGGCGGUGGAGGAGAUGGACCGGGUGGUCGGUCGCGAGCGACUGGUGCAAGAGUCGGACAUCAUGCAGCUCAACUAUCUCAAGGCAUGCAUACGUGAGGCAUUUCGGCUCCACCCAAUCGCUCCCUUCAACCUCCCACACGUCGCGAUUGCCGACACCAUUGUUGCGGGCUACCGCGUGCCCAAGGGUAGCAACGUCAUCCUCAGCCGGCUGGCCCUGGGCCGAAACCCCACCGUCUGGGAUGAACCACUCCGCUUCAAGCCGGAGCGCCAUAUGGGAGACAACAUCAAUGUGGUGCUUACUGAGAGCGAAUUGCGGUUCAUCUCCUUCAGCACCGGACGACGGGGAUGCAUCGCGGCAUCACUAGGAACAACCAUGAGUGUCAUGCUCUUUGGCAGGCUCCUGCAUGGCUUCACCUGGACCAAACCGGCUGGGGUGUCAGCCAUCAAUCUCAGCGAGUCCAAGCACGACCUCUUCAUAGAGAAGCCGCUAGUGCUACAUGCUGAGCCACGUCUUCCAGUGCACCUCUACCCUCUCAUGCAUUGUUGA